CAAGUAAAGGAACAGGAUGGGAGGGCAGCACUGAGCAGGGAGGGCCUCUCUGAGGAGGUGAUUGUAAGUGUGUGGAGGAACCGCUGUGCCCAGAGCCUGGCAGGGUGGACAGUUCCAGGUAAAAGAAACAGCAAGAGCAAAGGCCCUGGGGUGGGAAGAUGCAAACGUCCACGGUGCCUGGCCCAGCGCAGGCAUUCUGUGAACAGAUGAACAAGGAGACACAGGGAUGUGCUGUGCCGGGUCCCGUGCUGGGCACAGGGGAGGGCGAUGACUGAUGAAGAAUGAAUGAAUGAACGAACGAACAGACCCAGGGUUUGCUGGGGUCCUGCUGCUCCUGCCCUGGAUUCAUUAGCUCUGUCCCAGGCCUUUCCCUCACAUGCGCUGGCCUCAUAUGCAGCCCGGCUGGGAAGGGUUUUCCAUUUCUAAGGGCCCUUGCACAGCCCCAAGACAUCCCCCACAUCUGCCCUGAGCCCCCUUUUCUAUGUUCUAGAAACAGGCUCAGAGUCCGCACGGGCUUGUCAAGGGUUCCGAGAGCAUCAGGCCGUUCCUCAGAGAAAGGCAGUGAUCUGGGGCCACAGAAGCCCUCAGCCCCACCCUCGUCCUGUGUUGAAGUCCAGCCUGGAUGAAAUGAGAUCUUUCCUAAAAGGAACAGCCAGGAGGCCGGUGUGGCUGGAGCAGAGUGAACGAGGAAGAUAAGGGAGAAGAUGAGGCCCGAGUGACAAGGGACACAUCAUGCAGGGCCUUGUAAAGAUUUGCCUUUUUUCUCUGAGGGAGACAGAGACUGUGCAAAGGAGGAACAGGAUGUGACUCGGGUUUUCUCAGUCCUAGCUGCAUGCAGAGGACAGACCAUGGGGGUGAGGGUGGAAGCAGGAGACGCGGAGGUGACAGAGAUGGACCAGGGUGUGGAGGGAGGAGAGGACGGGGCUGCCGCAGGUGUUCCCAGGACACCGGGUAAGAAGUGACUGGACGGCGCACGCCAUGCUUCACUGGUUCAAGACGGACAUUGUUCCACACUGUGCACCUCUCCAGUCGAUUUCCAUGGCCUCUCGGAUUCACGGAAACCAGACUGUUGGGGUAGUGGAGCACCUGGGGUGGGUGCGGGGGUCGGGGGGGAGGAGCAGAGACCCCCCAGCUCUGGAUCCAGUCCAGGGAGGCCGGUGUUGACUUCUCCUGCCCCGGGGGAGGCUCGGAGGAGCCAGUUUGUGGGGGGCCAUUCAGCACUGGGUAUAUUCCACUGCGUGCGAUGCCAGACGGAGGGGUCAAGGAGGCUGGCGGGUCCAGAGCUGAGGGAAGAGCUGGGACUGGGGACACAUGCCGGGGCUGAGGACGGUGAGGCAGUGGCCCGUGUCUGAGCUUCCCAGAGGCAGCAUGGAUGAAAAGACACAGGGAGGCCCGUGCUUUCAAAUUAGGAAAAGGUCUCCUUCCUAUAGGCACAGCCACCUGGGCCGGUGGUCUGGGAGUCAUCGACAGCCUCUGCCUCUCCCUGUGGGUGCAGCCCUGCACUGGUCGCUGAGCACAGAUGUGACCGCACCCCAGGCCCCAGUCAGCCCUCUGCUCCAUGACCUUGGGGUCUUCCUGUGUUAACAGGAUAAAACUGAGGCCCAGAGAGGCUGAGUGACUGGCCCGAGAUCACACAGCUCUGAGCCACAGUGAGAUUCACUCUGACCAGUGUGGCCUUGAACCAGUCAUGCUGUCAUAAUUACCUGCCCCCACCCCUCCCCAUGACUGUCAGCUCCUUGACCAGCCUGGUGAGGUCAGUUUAUUCAGCGCUGACUGAAUAAAUCCUGGUGCCUGAAAUA